rnacentral:rRNA from 1 species
GACGAACGCUGGCGGCGUGCUUAACACAUGCAAGUCGAACGGUGAAGCUCAGCUUGCUGGAGUGGAUCAGUGGCGAACGGGUGAGUAACACGUGAGCAACCUGCCCCUGACUCUGGAAUAAGCGCUGGAAACGGCGUCUAAUACUGGAUACGAGAAGGGUCCGCAUGGGCACUUUCUGGAAAGUUUUUCGGUUGGGGAUGGGCUCGCGGCCUAUCAGCUUGUUGGUGAGGUAAUGGCUCACCAAGGCGACGACGGGUAGCCGGCCUGAGAGGGCGACCGGCCACACUGGGACUGAGACACGGCCCAGACUCCUACGGGAGGCAGCAGUGGGGAAUAUUGCACAAUGGGCGAAAGCCUGAUGCAGCGACGCCGCGUGAGGGAUGACGGCCUUCGGGUUGUAAACCUCUUUCAGCAGGGAAGAAGCGAAAGUGACGGUACCUGCAGAAGAAGCACCGGCUAACUACGUG